rnacentral:rRNA from 1 species
CUACGGGUUGCAGCAGUGGGGAAUAUUGGACAAUGGGCGAAACCCUGCUCCCGCACUGCCGCGUGUGUGAAGAAGGCCUGCGGGUUGUAAAGCACUUUCGGUUGGGAGGACUGCUUCUAGCACUAAUAUUGUUGGAAGUUGACGUUACCUUCAGAAGAAGCACCGGCUAACUCCGUGCCAGCAGCCGCGGUAAUACGGAGGGUGAAAGCGUUAAGCGGAAUUACUGGGCGUAAAGCGCGCGUAGGCGGCUAGAUAAGUCGGGUGUGAAAGCCCCGGGCUUAACCUGGGAACUGCAUCCGAUACUGGCUAGCUUGAGUACAGGAGAGGGGGGUGGAAUUCCACGUGUAGCGGUGAAAUGCGUAGAGAUGUGGAGGAACACCAAUGGCGAAGGCAGCUCUCUGGCCUGAUACUGACGCUGAGGUGCGAAAGCGUGGGGAGCAAACAGGAUUAGAUACCCCGGUAGUC